UACGAAGGGGGCUAGCGUUGCUCGGAAUCACUGGGCGUAAAGCGCACGUAGGCGGAUCUUUAAGUCAGGGGUGAAAUCCUGGAGCUCAACUCCAGAACUGCCUUUGAUACUGGGGAUCUCGAGUCCGGAAGAGGUGAGUGGAGCUCCGAGUGUAGAGGUGAAAUUCGUAGAUAUUCGGAAGAACACCAGUGGCGAAGGCGGCUCACUGGUCCGGUACUGACGCUGAGGUGCGAAAGCGUGGGGAGCAAACAGG
rnacentral:rRNA from 1 species